rnacentral:rRNA from 1 species
GACGAACGCUGGCGGCGUGCUUAACACAUGCAAGUCGAACGGUGAUGCUCCAGGUGGCUGGUGUGAAUCAGUGGCGAACGGGUGAGUAACACGUGAGCAACCGGCCCUAGACUCUGGAAUAGGCUCUGGAAACGGCGUCUAAGACUGUAUACGAAACGAGCCCGCGUUGACAGGGUUGGGAAUUUUGUUCGGGUUGGGAUGGGCGCGCGGCCUAUCAGCUUGUUGGUUAGGUAAUGGCUCGCCAAGGCGGCGACGGGUAGCCGGCCUGAGAGGGCGACCGGCCACACUGGGACUGAGACACGGACCAGACUCCUACGGGAGGCAGCAGUGGGGAAUAUUGCACAAUGGGCGAAAGCCUGAUGCAGCGACGCCGCGUGAGGGAUGACGGCCUUCGGGUUGUAAACCUCUUCCAGCAGGGAAGCAGCGAAAGUGACGGUACCUGCAGAAGAAGCACCGGCUAACUACGUG